GUGACAGCGACCCCGUGGCGGUGGCCAGGUGCUUCGUGGACAGGAGCCAGGAUUUCGAUAUCUACACCCAGUACUGCAACAACUACCCCAACUCGGUGGCGGCUCUGACCGAGUGCAUGAGGAACAAACAGCAGGCGAAGUUCUUCCGCGAGCGCCAGGAGCAGAUCGGCCACGCGCUGCCCCUGGGCUCCUACCUGCUCAAGCCAGUCCAGAGGAUCCUCAAGUACCACCUGCUGCUCCAGGUAAGUGGGGGGCGCCUGCCCCCUCCCCACUGC